CAGGAAUCCUUGUUUUCUUAAUCUGGUUGUAGAGAUUUUUGCAUUCGAUGUGAGGAGUGCAGGUAGCUCCCAUUGUUGCGUCCAGUUUGCAAAUUAUUGUUGGAUUCAGUGGUCUCUGGGCUAUUGUUGCUAGGUUUUUAAGUCCACUUUCUGCAGUUCCUCUAAUAACUCUUGUGGGGCUUGGGCUCUAUGAACUUGGCUUCCCUGGGGUAGCCAAAUGCAUAGAGAUAGGACUUCCACAACUUAUUGCAUUGGUCUUUUUUUCACAGGUAAAGCAUUAGAAUUUUGAAUGAGACUAUUAACAUGUGAUUUUAAAAUUUAGAAAAUGAGCAUUUAUGUUGGCUGGGUUACUGUUUACAUU